GACGGAAGGUGCAAGCGUUGCUCGGAAUCACUGGGCGUAAAGGGUGCGUAGGCGGCUUGGUAGGUCUGGUGUGAAAGCCCCGGGCUCAGCCCGGGAAGGGCACUAGAAACUGCCAAGCUAGAGUGCCGGAGGGGAGAGUGGAAUUCCUGGUGUAGCGGUGAAAUGCGUAGAGAUCAGGAGGAAUACCGGUGGCGAAGGCGACUACCUGGCCUGUUCUUGACGCUGAGGCGCGAAAGCUGGGGGAGCAAACGGG
rnacentral:rRNA from 1 species